CGAGCCGGCGGCCAGCCGGUUCGCACUGACAUCGGUACCUGAUACGGCCGGUGCAG
rnacentral:ncRNA from 1 species